rnacentral:rRNA from 1 species
UACACACCGCCCGUCGCUACUACCGAUUGAAUGGCUCGGUGAGGCCUUCGGACUGGCUCAGGGGAGUUGGCAACGACUCCCCAGAGCCGGAAAGUUGGUCAAACCCGGUCAUUUAGAGGAAGUAAAAGUCGUAACAAGGUUUCCGUAGGUGAACCUGCGGAAGGAUCAUUACCGAGUGAGGGCCCUCUGGGUCCAACCUCCCACCCGUGUCUAUCGUACCUUGUUGCUUCGGCGGGCCCGCCGUUUCGACGGCCGCCGGGGAGGCCUUGCGCCCCCGGGCCCGCGCCCGCCGAAGACCCCAACAUGAACGCUGUUCUGAAAGUAUGCAGUCUGAGUUGAUUAUCGUAAUCAGUUAAAACUUUCAACAACGGAUCUCUUGGUUCCGGCAUCGAUGAAGAACGCAGCGAAAUGCGAUAAGUAAUGUGAAUUGCAGAAUUCAGUGAAUCAUCGAGUCUUUGAACGCACAUUGCGCCCCCUGGUAUUCCGGGGGGCAUGCCUGUCCGAGCGUCAUUGCUGCCCUCAAGCACGGCUUGUGUGUUGGGCCCCCGUCCCCCUCUCCCGGGGGACGGGCCCGAAAGGCAGCGGCGGCACCGCGUCCGGUCCUCGAGCGUAUGGGGCUUUGUCACCUGCUCUGUAGGCCCGGCCGGCGCCAGCCGACACCCAACUUUAUUUUUCUAAGGUUGACCUCGGAUCAGGUAGGGAUACCCGCUGAACUUAAGCAUAUCAAUAAGCGGAGGAAAAGAAACCAACAGGGAUUGCCUCAGUAACGGCGAGUGAAGCGGCAAGAGCUCAAAUUUGAAAGCUGGCCCCUUCGGGGUCCGCGUUGUAAUUUGCAGAGGAUGCUUCGGGUGCAGCCCCCGUCUAAGUGCCCUGGAACGGGCCGUCAUAGAGGGUGAGAAUCCCGUCUGGGACGGGGUGUCUGCGUCCGUGUGAAGCUCCUUCGACGAGUCGAGUUGUUUGGGAAUGCAGCUCUAAAUGGGUGGUAAAUUUCAUCUAAAGCUAAAUACUGGCCGGAGACCGAUAGCGCACAAGUAGAGUGAUCGAAAGAUGAAAAGCACUUUGAAAAGAGAGUUAAACAGCACGUGAAAUUGUUGAAAGGGAAGCGUUUGCGACCAGACUCGCCCGCGGGGUUCAGCCGGCAUUCGUGCCGGUGUACUUCCCCGUGGGCGGGCCAGCGUCGGUUUGGGCGGCCGGUCAAAGGCCCUCGGAAUGUAUCACCUCUCGGGGUGUCUUAUAGCCGAGGGUGCAAUGCGGCCUGCCUGGACCGAGGAACGCGCUUCGGCUCGGACGCUGGCGUAAUGGUCGUAAAUGACCCGUCUUGA